AUGGCUCGUGCCAUGGCAUGGAUCUCGGACGCGGCGGUCGGCCACGAGGCGCUGGAAAUGGGCAAGCUGCUCCACAGCUUGUCCAUGGCCAUGGUCUGCCGCGCGGUCUUCGGGCCGGCGUUCAACAUGGACGGCCGCUGCCAACAGCUGCAGGACCUCGUCCGUUCCAUCGACGCCCUCGUCGCCGGUUAUAGCGCCUUGGACUUCUUCCCGGCCUUGCUCAGCAAGGCUGCCUUCGUCAGGCGGUUCAUCUGCGGCAAGGCGGCCAAGCUCAGGAGCGUGUGGGACAGGGUUCUAGAUGAAAUCAUCGCGGAGCACGAGCAGGACGGAUUCAUCGACUCGCUGAGGUCGGCUCAGCGCGAGUACGGGUUGUCCAAGGAGCACGUGAGAUCAAUCUUAAUCGACACCUUCUUCGGCGCCACGACUCCACCGCAACGCUCAUGGAAUGCGUUUUGGUGGAACUAA
rnacentral:rRNA from 1 species